rnacentral:rRNA from 1 species
UGAGUACGAGCUGCUACGGCAGCGAAGUGGGUGACGUCAAGCUUCCAAGAAAAGCCCUAUACCCGUUAAGGCAUGAUGGCCUGUACCCGAAACCGACACAGGUGGGGUGGUAGAGAAUACCGAGGGGCGCGAGAUAACUCUCUCUAAGGAACUCGGCAAAAUGGCCCCGUAACUUCGGGAGAAGGGGUGCCACCGCAAGGUGGUCGCAGUGAAGAGGCCCAGGCGACUGUUUACCAAAAACACAGGUCUCCGCUAAGUCGCAAGACGAUGUAUGGGGGCUGGCGCCUGCCCAGUGCCGGAAGGUUAAGGAAGCUGGUCAGCGCAAGCGAAGCUAGCGACUGAAGCCCCGGUGAACGGCGGCCGUAACUAUAACGGUCCUAAGGUAGCGAAAUUCCUUGUCGGGUAAGUUCCGACCCGCACGAAAGGCGUAACGAUCUGGGCGCUGUCUCGGAGAGAGGCUCGGCGAAAUAGAAUUGUCUGUGAAGAUGCGGACUACGUGCACCCGGACAGAAAGACCCUAUGAAGCUUUACUGUAGCUUGGUAUUGUGCUCGGGCUCGGAAUGCGCAGGAUAGGUGGGAGGCUAUGAACCAUUGCUUGUGGGUGAUGGUGAGCCACUGGUGAGAUACCACUCUUUCCGAGCUAGAGUUCUAACAGCCACCCGUUAUCCGGGGGCUGGACAGUAUCAGGUGGGCAGUUUGACUGGGGCGGUCGCCUCCUAAAAGGUAACGGAGGCGCGCAAAGGUUUGCUCAGGCUGGUUGGAAAUCAGCCGACGAGUGUAAAAGCAGAAGCAAGCUUGACUGUGAGACCUACAAGUCGAACAGGGAGGAAACUCGGCUUUAGUGAUCCGACGGUUCUGCGUGGAAGGGCCGUCGCUCAACGGAUAAAAGUUACUCUAAGGAUAACAGGCUGAUCUCCCCCAAGAGUUCACAUCGACGGGGAGGUUUGGCACCUCGAUGUCGGCUCAUCGCAACCUGGGGCUGAAGUCGGUCCCAAGGGUUGGGCUGUUCGCCCAUUAAAGCGGUACGCGAGCUGGGUUCAGAACGUCGUGAGACAGUUCGGUCCAUAUCCGGUGCAUGCGCAGGAAUAUUGAGAGGAUUUCUCCCUAGUACGAGAGGACCGGGAGGAACGCACCUCUGGUGUACCAGUUAUCGUGCCAACGGUAAACGCUGGGUAGCCAUGUGCGGAGAGGAUAACCGCUGAAAGCAUCUAAGUGGGAAGCCCACCUCAAGAUGAGUAUUCCCAUGGGUUAACCCAGUAAGGUCACGGGAAGAACACCCGUUGAUAGGCUCUACGUGGAAG